rnacentral:tRNA from 1 species
CGGGAUGUGGCUCAGCUUGGUAGAGCGCGUGCCUUGGGAGUACGAGGUCGCAGGUUCAAAUCCUGUCAUCCCGA